AAACGUGCUGAAGCACUACUCGAUAACAAGGAGUUUUCUUGUCCUGCUACUUCAUAUGGAAUCAGUACAGAGGCAGCGGCACGCAGAAAAUUUGAGGCAGUGCAUGGAGUCUCCGUGCAGUGUUUUGGGCUUGUUGUUGCAUCGGACGACCCCUGGUUGGUAAGCUCUCCUGAUGGUGUGUUCAGGUCACCUGAUGGUAUGGUUCACCUGCUGGAAAUCAAAUGCCCCAAGAGCCGCGAGCAAAAGAAGGUGUCGGAGCUCCCACUCCUAAGUUACCUGUGUACAGAUGAGAAUGGACUGCACCUUUGAAAGACACACACAUAUUACACUCAGGUUCAGAUUAACUUGCAUGUAUUGGAUUUGAAAACAUGUAGCUUUUUCAUUUACACAAAAGUGGACUUUGAAACAAUAGAAGUUGUGAGAGACAAUAACUUUCUGAGUGCAGCAGUACCAAGACUCCGAAUAUUUUAUUUCGAACAUCUCCUCCCAUCUACACUUCGUGCAGAACUCAGAAGUAGAAACAAGAUGUGCUCUUGUAGACCACCGUGUGUGGACAUGUAACUCUAAAUAAAAGGAAACACUGCUGUAGAAUA